GGUGAGGUGGCCGAGUGGUUGAAGGCAACGGUCUUGAAAACCGUCAUCAUCAAUGGGUAGUGAGUAGAGAUGAGAAAGGCGGAGGCGCGACGGCGCCGAGCCGGGGUCGCAGAAUUUUUCAACAGAAAAAUAUCUGUGACCGAAUCUCACCCUCACCG
rnacentral:tRNA from 1 species